rnacentral:rRNA from 1 species
CGUCCAUCCAUCCAGUCCUGAUUCAAGGCGCAGCGGAGUAACCGCGUUCAAUCCAUCCAGUCUAGAUGACUGGUGUGCGUUGCUCGAUUGGAUCCGUCGGAGGUGCGGGAUGGGACCGAGGCAAGCCGAUGCGUGCGAUCGAUCGACCGGAGGAGCGGAGCAGCCCUCGCGUGCCGGACGUCGCAAUGCGUGCGAUCCGACCUUCGCCGUGGCCUGCAGUGCGUUCAGGUGGUGGGGGGCAUGGAAUCCCAGGCGCCGACACGAGGCUGUGGCGCGAGCAUUGAAUCAUGCGCUGUCGAUUCGAGUUUCAUUUGUUGGUGAUUCCAUAAUUAAAUUGCAGUUUCUACACGCCAUUACUGGUAAUGGUUUUCUAGCUCGUUGGAGUUUGCUUGCGGUGGGCUUGCUCUUCGCUGGUUCUGCUUGAUUACAAGGUGAAGCACUACCCAGUGUUCUGUGAUACCGUUCCUUCAACCUUGCACGCCCCCACCCCUCGCAAUAGCAGGCGACACCUGGAGAUGGCGACGGCAGCAUUGCCAGCUGCACUCAUGCGCCUCUUCCCCCGUCAGACUGACUUUCGUCCUUGGUGACUCAUGGUGCGGCCUCUAUCUUUAUGAUUUUCUUUUUCCACCCGAUGAUUACAUUAUUUCCUCCCAAUCUAAAUUUUGUACAGUAAUUAUAAAUACUGGGAGGUUGUCAAUUGAUUUGACCAGAUACUGGAGAAUGGUAUCGAGUUUUUAUUCCAAAUUCUUCGGCCGAUAAUCUCUAAUGGCUUCCCAACAGGUUAAUUAGAACACUAUAGUAAAAUGCGAAAAAAAUUUGUAGCCGUACUGUUCUAGAGGAGGGGUGAAGCCUCAAUAUGGUCUGCUUCUAUCCACAAAUGAGCAAAGCUCAAUAAUCUUGCGGACAUUUCUACAUAUGUAUGUGGAUUUUCAAGACAGGUACAGGCAUUGCAUCAUUCCAAGCAUAAGGUGAGUUUCUUUCUAGAAUUCGAACAGAAUAUGAAUCAAGCUGCAAGGAACUUCACUCCAAGAGAUCUCAGAUCCAUGCCUAAAACUGAAACUUCUCAGUUCUUGACAAACUAAUAGUAUUUCACAAUGUGCUCACGUUUUUGUCGCCUUCCAUGUAGAUGCAGCCUUUCCCUUCUGGGAUGUUCAUGCGCAGCUUUUUCUAACUUACAGUAUUGAAUUUUCAUCCAGAUUAUCACCGAUGGAACCACCAGCUAAUAAAAUGGGGCAGAAAUGCGUCCUCUAUUUGCUCAUACCAUGCACACGAAUGGAUAAUGAAAUAAGUUAUUUACUCUUCAGUUACACAUAAAUCUAAAUAGUUCUCUUCUAUUUUCUCCCUACCAUGCACGAGAGAGUAGUUAUUUACUCUUCAGUUACACAUAGCAUCUAAAUAGUAGUAAUUGAUAUCCUAUAAAAACCUUAAUUUGGAUCCAUCAACUGAUAAUCAUGCAAUCAGUUAACCUCGCUGCUCACAUGCCAUCCCUCUAUUUAUAUACAUGUUUGUAGCUAAGUAGCAACUGACAUCUUAUAAAUAUCAUUAAUUUCCACUGGCCAUUAACAAUUCUGCAUCCAUUUAAACUGACUGCUACGUGCCAUCCCUCUGCUUACAUAGAACGUCUGUAGUAGAUAUUGGAACACUCAACAAUUCCUACUCGUAGGUACCACGCCUACACUCUCCUUAUGUAUUACGCUGGUGCUGUGAGGAAUCUGGCUGGAGCAAAACCAAUGCAUUUUCAAGGCAAAACAUGCACCGGCUGCUGACAUGGUGGCGGCGAGCCGACAAGCCGUCCAACUAUGGCGCCAAGCUGGAGCAAAGUGCUUAGAACUACCUUUUGUUGAGCUACCGGCAGGAAUCGACUAAUGUAACUUUUCAUUUUUUGGACCCUUUGAUCUUCGGAUCUACGCCAUGUGUUUGCUUUUCCCAUUGCUUCCUGCUUAAUAUAUGAAUGCCGGCAGCGCUGGAUCUUUCAAAAAAAAAACACUCUCCUUAUGUAUAUUUGUCUACUUUGCACUCAAACGUAGAUGAAUCAAUCUGGGGAUGAGUCUCAUCCAAGGAUGGCUUAAAGUAUAGAGCAUGCAUUAGAUGAUACGUUGAACCACGAUGAAUCUACUCACUCCUCCUCAAAG